rnacentral:rRNA from 1 species
GGUUAAGCGACUAAGCGUACACGGUGGAUGCCCUGGCAGUCAGAGGCGAUGAAGGACGUGCUAAUCUGCGAUAAGCGUCGGUAAGGUGAUAUGAACCGUUAUAACCGGCGAUUUCCGAAUGGGGAAACCCAGUGUGUUUCGACACACUAUCAUUAACUGAAUCCAUAGGUUAAUGAGGCGAACCGGGGGAACUGAAACAUCUAAGUACCCCGAGGAAAAGAAAUCAACCGAGAUUCCCCCAGUAGCGGCGAGCGAACGGGGAGCAGCCCAGAGCCUGAAUCAGUGUGUGUGUUAGUGGAAGCGUCUGGAAAGGCGCGCGAUACAGGGUGACAGCCCCGUACACAAAAAUGCACAUGCUGUGAGCUCGAUGAGUAGGGCGGGACACGUGGUAUCCUGUCUGAAUAUGGGGGGACCAUCCUCCAAGCGCUAAAUACUCCUGACUGACCGAUAGUGAACCAGUACCGUGAGGGAAAGGCGAAAAGAACCCCGGCGAGGGGAGUGAAAAAGAACCUGAAACCGUGUACGUACAAGCAGUGGGAGCACGCUUAGGCGUGUGACUGCGUACCUUUUGUAUAAUGGGUCAGCGACUUAUAUUCUGUAGCAAGGUUAACCGAAUAGGGGAGCCGAAGGGAAACCGAGUCUUAACUGGGCGUUAAGUUGCAGGGUAUAGACCCGAAACCCGGUGAUCUAGCCAUGGGCAGGUUGAAGGUUGGGUAACACUAACUGGAGGACCGAACCGACUAAUGUUGAAAAAUUAGCGGAUGACUUGUGGCUGGGGGUGAAAGGCCAAUCAAACCGGGAGAUAGCUGGUUCUCCCCGAAAGCUAUUUAGGUAGCGCCUCGUGAAUUCAUCUCCGGGGGUAGAGCACUGUUUCGGCAAGGGGGUCAUCCCGACUUACCAACCCGAUGCAAACUGCGAAUACCGGAGAAUGUUAUCACGGGAGACACACGGCGGGUGCUAACGUCCGUCGUGAAGAGGGAAACAACCCAGACCGCCAGCUAAGGUCCCAAAGUCAUGGUUAAGUGGGAAACGAUGUGGGAAGGCCCAGACAGCCAGGAUGUUGGCUUAGAAGCAGCCAUCAUUUAAAGAAAGCGUAAUAGCUCACUGGUCGAGUCGGCCUGCGCGGAAGAUGUAACGGGGCUAAACCAUGCACCGAAGCUGCGGCAGCGACACUAUGUGUUGUUGGGUAGGGGAGCGUUCUGUAAGCCUGUGAAGGUGUGCUGUGAGGCAUGCUGGAGGUAUCAGAAGUGCGAAUGCUGACAUAAGUAACGAUAAAGCGGGUGAAAAGCCCGCUCGCCGGAAGACCAAGGGUUCCUGUCCAACGUUAAUCGGGGCAGGGUGAGUCGACCCCUAAGGCGAGGCCGAAAGGCGUAGUCGAUGGGAAACAGGUUAAUAUUCCUGUACUUGGUGUUACUGCGAAGGGGGACGGAGAAGGCUAUGUUGGUACGGGCGACGGUUGUCCCGGUUUAAGCGUGUAGGCUGGUUUUCCAGGCAAAUCCGGAAAAUCAAGGCUGAGGCGUGAUGACGAGGCACUACGGUGCUGAAGCAACAAAUGCCCUGCUUCCAGGAAAAGCCUCUAAGCAUCAGGUAACAUCAAAUCGUACCCCAAACCGACACAGGUGGUCAGGUAGAGAAUACCAAGGCGCUUGAGAGAACUCGGGUGAAGGAACUAGGCAAAAUGGUGCCGUAACUUCGGGAGAAGGCACGCUGAUAUGUAGGUGAGGUCCCUCGCGGAUGGAGCUGAAAUCAGUCGAAGAUACCAGCUGGCUGCAACUGUUUAUUAAAAACACAGCACUGUGCAAACACGAAAGUGGACGUAUACGGUGUGACGCCUGCCCGGUGCCGGAAGGUUAAUUGAUGGGGUUAGCGCAAGCGAAGCUCUUGAUCGAAGCCCCGGUAAACGGCGGUACCGUAACUAUAACGGUCCUAAGGUAGCGAAAUUCCUUGUCGGGUAAGUUCCGACCUGCACGAAUGGCGUAAUGAUGGCCAGGCUGUCUCCACCCGAGACUCAGUGAAAUUGAACUCGCUGUGAAGAUGCAGUGUACCCGCGGCAAGACGGAAAGACCCCGUGAACCUUUACUAUAGCUUGACACUGAACAUUGAGCCUUGAUGUGUAGGAUAGGUGGGAGGCUUUGAAGUGUGGACGCCAGUCUGCAUGGAGCCGACCUUGAAAUACCACCCUUUAAUGUUUGAUGUUCUAACGUGGACCCGUGAUCCGGGUUGCGGACAGUGUCUGGUGGGUAGUUUGACUGGGGCGGUCUCCUCCUAAAGAGUAACGGAGGAGCACGAAGGUUGGCUAAUCCUGGUCGGACAUCAGGAGGUUAGUGCAAUGGCAUAAGCCAGCUUGACUGCGAGCGUGACGGCGCGAGCAGGUGCGAAAGCAGGUCAUAGUGAUCCGGUGGUUCUGAAUGGAAGGGCCAUCGCUCAACGGAUAAAAGGUACUCCGGGGAUAACAGGCUGAUACCGCCCAAGAGUUCAUAUCGACGGCGGUGUUUGGCACCUCGAUGUCGGCUCAUCACAUCCUGGGGCUGAAGUAGGUCCCAAGGGUAUGGCUGUUCGCCAUUUAAAGUGGUACGCGAGCUGGGUUUAGAACGUCGUGAGACAGUUCGGUCCCUAUCUGCCGUGGGCGCUGGAGAACUGAGGGGGCUGCUCCUAGUACGAGAGGACCGGAGUGGACGCAUCACUGGUGUUCGGGUUGUCAUGCCAAUGGCACUGCCCGGUAGCUAAAUGCGGAAGAGAUAAGUGCUGAAAGCAUCUAAGCACGAAACUUGCCCCGAGAUGAGUUCUCCCUGACUCCUUGAGAGUCCUGAAGGAACGUUGAAGACGACGACGUUGAUAGGCCGGGUGUGUAAGCGCAGCGAUGCGUUGAGCUAACCGGUACUAAUGAACCGUGAGGCUUAACCUU